rnacentral:rRNA from 1 species
CAGAGGUCCCGAGCGUUGUUCGGAUUCACUGGGCGUAAAGGGUGCGUAGGUGGUGAGGUAAGUCGGAUGUGAAAUCUCCGGGCUCAACCCGGAAACUGCAUUGGAAACUACCUUGCUUGAGGUUUUGAGGGGGGACUGGAAUUCUCGGUGUAGCAGUGAAAUGCGUAGAUAUCGAGAGGAACACCAGUGGCGAAGGCGAGUCCCUGGAAAACACCUGACACUGAGGCACGAAAGCUAGGGGAGCAAACAGGAUUAGAUACCCUGGUAGUCCUAGCCCUAAACGGUGCUUGCUUGCUGUAAGUGGAAUCGACCCCACUUGUGGCGGAGCUAACGCGUUAAGCAAGCCGCCUGGGAAGUACGGUCGCAAGAUUAA